GCUGGGCAUGGUGGCGGGUGCCUGUAAUCCCAGCUACUUGGGAGGCUGAGGCAGGAGAAUUGCUUGAACCUGGGAGGUGGAAGUUGCAGUGACCUGAGAUUGUACCACUGCACUCCAGCCUGGGUAACAGAGCAAGACUCUGUCUCAA
rnacentral:SRP_RNA from 1 species